GACGGAGGAUGCAAGCGUUAUCCGGAAUGAUUGGGCGUAAAGCGUCCGCAGGCGGCAGUUCAAGUCUGCUGUCAAAGACCGGGGCUUAACUUCGGAAAGGCAGUGGAAACUGAACAGCUAGAGUAUGGUAGGGGCAGAGGGAAUUCCUGGUGUAGCGGUGGAAUGCGCAGAUAUCAGGAGGAACACCGAUGGCGAAGGCAGAUCUCUGGGCCGUAACUGACGCUGAGGAGCGAAAGCGUGGGGAGCAAACAGG
rnacentral:rRNA from 1 species